rnacentral:rRNA from 1 species
AUUGAACGCUGGCGGCAGGCUUAACACAUGCAAGUCGAGCGGAUGAAGGGAGCUUGCUCCUGGAUUCAGCGGCGGACGGGUGAGUAAUGCCUAGGAAUCUGCCUGGUAGUGGGGGAUAACGUCCGGAAACGGGCGCUAAUACCGCAUACGUCCUGAGGGAGGAAUUGGGGGAGCUUCGGACCUCACGCUAUCAGAUGAGCCUAGGUCGGAUUAGCUAGUUGGUGGGGUAAAGGCCUACCAGGGCGACGAUCCGUAACUGGUCUGAGAGGAUGAUCAGUCACAAUGGAACUGAGACACGGUCCAGACUCCUACGGGAGGCAGCAGUGGGGAAUAUUGGACAAUGGGCGAAAGCCUGAUCCAGCCAUGCCGCGUGUGUGAAGAAGGUCUUCGGAUUGUAAAGCACUUUAAGUUGGGAGGAAGGGCAGUAAGUUAAUACCUUGCUGUUUUGACGUUACCAACAGAAUAAGCACCGGCUAACUUCGUG